AGUCCCUUUUGGCCCGAGGAGCUCCUGCCCCUUGGGAACUGCUGCGGCCCCUUCGUAGCCAGGGCACCCUGCCUCCGACCCGCGGUGCGAGAAGAGUGGGGCUCGGGGGAGCCAUCGAGAUCUGAGCUGAAAGGAACCGUGGAGGUGAUGUCAUUUCACCUCCUGGGGACUUGCUCCUGAAUUCUUUGGGGGUAGCUGGCUUCUGCAGAACCAACCCCCACCCCCGCCCCCACCCCCAGCCCCAAGGAACAGCCUUCUCCUCUCCAAGGGCGGAGGGGUGAGGGGGGCGGUCUGAGUGUGUCAGGUGGGGAAGGAAGGGGCGAGGUGCGGGAGAGCGGGUGCGGGGAAUCUGGCAGUCUGCUUAGUCUGCAGUGCAUAUGGCUUCAGGCAAUGAGUGCUGGACUGAACAGUUCCCAGGUAAACAAGCCCCGAGCUGGCCAGUGAGUUGGCUUAACCUGUAAGGAAGGAGGAGGGGGAUGGGCUGGGGGUUUGGGAUGGAAAUCCUAUCAAAUUGGGCUGUGAUGAUCUUUGCAAAACCAUAAAUUCAUUGAGAAAAACAACAACAACAACAACCCGCGAAGGGGGAAAGCCUUACAUAUAGGAGAAAAAGAUUUACAAAUCGUGGAAACUUCUUGGAAGCAAUGCAGGUCUAAUGACUUAUAGGACAGAAUGUAUUUGUUUAGUUAACCAUCCACCCAUCCUUCUAAACCCCAAAAUAUUUGUGAAUUGAUUUCAUAUCAAAACUUGGCGGAGUUCCCGUCGUGGCGCAGUGGUUAAGGAAUCCGACUAGGAACCAUGAGGUUUCGGGUUCGGUCCCUGGCCUUGCUCAGUGGGUUAAGGAUCCAGCGUUGCCCAUGAACCGUGGUGUAGGUUGCAGACGUGGCUCCGAUGCCACGUUGCUGUGGCUCUGGUAUAGGCCGGCGGCUACAGCUCCGAUUAGACCCCUAGCCUGGGAACCUCCAUAUGCCGCAGGUGCGGCCCUGGAAAUGGCAAAAAGACGAAAAAAGAAAACAAACAAAAAAACCCAACUUUGCUUUCUUUCUUCCUUUGGUGUGAAUUUUUAAAUUUCCUAAUAAAAAAUACGUAAAACAUUUAAGGAUAAUAAAGUGAGCGCCUAUCUCCUAGAUCAAGAAAUAGGGCAUUGCAGUACAUUUAGAAGCCCUUCUGUGUCCUGUGUCAUAUCCAUUCUUCUCUCUUGGCUGAGAAGUAACAUCUGUCCUGAUUUUUUUUUUUUUUCUGUUUUUGCUCCUUUUUAGGGCCACACCUGUGGCAUCUGGAAUUUCCCAGGCUAGGGGUUGAAUUGGAGCUUCAGCUGAAGGCCUAUACCACAGCCACAGCAACACCAUAUCCUUAAGCCACUGAGCGGAGCCAGGAGUCAAACCUGCAUCUUCAUGGAUAUUAGCUGGGUUCCUAACCUGCUUAGCCACAAUGGGAACUCCCUGAUUUUUUUGCAUUAAUCAUUGCCUUACUUUCCAAAAAUUUAUACGUGUGUGUGCAUGGGUAUGUUGAUUUUUCCUAUUUUUUACUUUCAUAUUAACAGCAUUCUACUGUAUAUAUUCUUAAGUGUUUGAGCUUCACCUCUAUUGAUUUCUUCAUUUUCACUGAUUAUGGUUUGAGGAUACUGCAGAUUAUCCAUUUUACAAAUAUGUUGUUGCCAGUUUGGGAUUUGUACUAGUUAUCUAUUGUUGUGUAACAGAUUACCCCAACACUUAGCAGCUUAAAACAAAAUGAACCAAAAAAGGCCUAUCAUCUCACAGUUUCAAGUCACGAAUCCGGGAGGAGCUUUGCUGGGAGUCUGACUCAGUAUCUCUCACAGGCUUCCAGCAAGGUACUCACUGGAGCUACAGUCAUUUCAAGGGUGGAGGGAACCCCUUUCAAGCUCACUCACGUGACUUGUGGCGGGCCUCUUGGCUUCUCUGGUUCUGGUUGGACACAUUAGCUCUUUGCCUUAUGCUCUUCUAUGUAGGAACGAGUCACAACAUGGAAGCUUGUUUCCAUCAGCGUGAAGCCUUGGCGGAGAGAAAGACAAAAGCCAGAGUCUCUUUGUAACCAGAUCUCAAAAGUGACAUUCCACCAUUUUUGCCAUCUUCUGUUCAUUAGAAAUAAGUCACCAGUUCCAGCCCACACUCAAAGGAAAGGGGUUACACAAGACCAUGAAUUUCUAGAGUCAGGGAUUAUUGGGAGGCAUUUUAAAGGCUUGCUACUACAGAGGAUAUUAGCAAAUAAAAUCCUCUAUCAUGUACAUGCCUUCUGGUUCAUAUGCACAAGUGAACUCUGGUUCCUCACAGUAUACACCCAGGUAUAGAAUGACUGGGUUAUAAGAUUUGUGUAUUGGAGUUCCCGUCAUGGCUCAGUAAUUAAUGAAUCCGACUAGGAACCAUGAGGCUGCGGGUUUGAUCCCUGGCCUCGCUCAGUGGGUUAAGGAUCCGGCAUUGCCCUGAGCUGUGGUGUAGGUCGCAGACGUGGCUCGGAUCCCGUGUUGCUGUGGCUCUGGCAUAGGCCAGUGGCUACAGCUCUGAUUGGACCCCUACCUGGGAACCUCCAUAUGCCGCACAUGUGGCCCUAGAAA
ensembl:lncRNA